CAGCCGCGUAAUUCCAGCUCCAAUAGCGUAUAUUUAAGUUGUUGCAGUUAAAAAGCUCGUAGUUGAAUUUCGGGAUCAAUAUAUCGGUCGUGCCUUGGUACGUACUGGUAUCAUUGGUUUCUCCUUUCUGACGAACCAUGAUGUCAUUAAUUUGGUGUUAUGGGAAGUUAGGACUGUUACUUUGAAAAAAUUAGAGUGUUUAAAGCAGGCUUUAGCUUGAAUACAUUAGCAUGUAAUAAUGAAAUAGGACGUUCGAACCUAUUUUGUUGGUUUCUAGGAUCAACGUAAUGAUUAAUAGGGAUAGUUGGGGGCAUUAGUAUUCAAUUGUCAGAGGUGAAAUUCUUGGAUUUAUUGAAGACUAACUACUGCGAAAGCAUUUGCCAAGGAUGUUUUCAUUAAUCAAGAACGAAAGUUAGGGGAUCGAAGACGAUCAGAUACCGUCGUAGUCUUAACCAUAAACUAUGCCGACUAGGGAUCGGAUGAUGUUAAUUUUUUAAUGACUCAUUCGGCGCCUUACG
rnacentral:misc_RNA from 1 species